GUGGGGAAUCUUGCGCAAUGGGCGAAAGCCUGACGCAGCCAUGCCGCGUGAAUGAUGAAGGUCUUAGGAUUGUAAAAUUCUUUCACCGGGGACGAUAAUGACGGUACCCGGAGAAGAAGCUCCGGCUAACUUCGUGCCAGCAGCCGCGGUAAUACGAAGGGGGCUAGCGUUGCUCGGAAUUACUGGGCGUAAAGGGCGCGUAGGCGGACAGCUUAGUCAGAGGUGAAAGCCCAGGGCUCAACCUUGGAAUUGCCUUUGAUACUGGCUGUCUUGAGUUUGGGAGAGGUGAGUGGAACUCCGAGUGUAGAGGUGAAAUUCGUAGAUAUUCGGAAGAACACCAGUGGCGAAGGCGACUACCUGGACUGAUACUGACACUGAGGUGCGAAAGCGUGGGGAGCAAACAGGAUUAGAAACCCGAGUAGUCC
rnacentral:rRNA from 1 species